ACGAGGCAGCAGUGGGGAAUAUUGCACAAUGGGGGGAACCCUGAUGCAGCGACGCCGCGUGAGUGAAGAAGUAUUUCGGUAUGUAAAGCUCUAUCAGCAGGGCAGAAGAUGACGGUACCUGACUAAGAAGCCCCGGCUAACUACGUGCCAGCAGCCGCGGUAAUACGUAGGGGGCAAGCGUUAUCCGGAUUUACUGGGUGUAAAGUGAGCGUAGACGGCAGGGCAAGUCUGGAGUGAAAGCCCGGGGCCCAACCCCGGGACUGCUUUGGAAACUGCCAUGCUGGAGUGCUGGAGAGGUAAGCGGG
rnacentral:rRNA from 1 species